AUUAAGGUAGCAAAGCUCGGCCAUGCAACAGGCUUAAAACCUUCACACAGAUGUUCAAAUCAUCUCCUUAAUA
rnacentral:tRNA from 1 species